rnacentral:misc_RNA from 1 species
GUCAACGGUAGCACAAUACAUAUAUUGGCUCACAACACUCACUGAAUAGGCUAUGUUUGGUCAAGUCACUAUAAGAUAAUUAAGUUUUUCCACCAACUUCCUAUAUCUUUCGGGAACUUUUAGCAAUUUUCCUUCUUUUGUGAGUUGUAAAUUGGGCAUCAUUUGGGUACUACAUGAUUUGGCCCUAACUUCCUUAUUUUAG